rnacentral:misc_RNA from 1 species
AACGCACAUUGCACCCUUUGGUUUUUAUCAAAGGGUAUGUCUGUUUGAGAAUCGUAUUACCAUUUCAAGCCUAACACGUUUGGCUUGUAAUUGAGGCCUUAACUGGGUGGGUUGAGUAAGGCAAAGCAGGCAUUCUUGCUUUGCUAGCUUAGCUUAGCUCUACUCCUUGUUGGCCUUUAAAUUGAGGGAUUGACGCCAAGCUGGCCUAUGUAUCAGCCGGUCUUAGGGCUCUGUGUGGUAAGGUGUGUAUAAUGUCAGUUUAGUUUAAUUGACAUGACAACGCCAAUAGCACUUUGCUCGUUCGUUUAGUCUAUAAACUAGACUGGACGAGGGAUCGUCUGAGGGACUGCUUGUGCUUGUCAGCCAAAACCCAAGCAUCGCAUGGCACGCAAGUACAUGCUUGCUUACUCAAUGCGACACGACACGCCGCAUUGGUUACUUGAUCUCAAAUCAGACAAGACUACCCGCUGAACUUAA